AUUUACAUUGUGGGCCAUAAGGUCCUUCAUUAUGUUGAAUAUGAUUUACAUUGUGGGCCAUAAGGUCCUUCAUUAUGUUGAAUAUGAUUUACAUUGUGGGCCAUAAGGUCCUUCAUUAUGUUGAAUAUGAUUUACAUUGUGGGCCAUAAGGUCCUUCAUUAUGUUGAAUAUGAUUUACAUUGUGGGCCAUAAGGUCCUUCAUUAUGUUGAAUAUGAUUUACAUUGUGGGCCAUAAGGUCCUUCAUUAUGUUGAAUAUGAUUUACAUUGUGGGCCAUAAGGUCCUUCAUUAUGUUUUUAUGAUUUACAUUGUGGGCCAUAAGGUCCUUCAUUAUGUUGUAUAUGAUUUACAUUGUGGGCCAUAAGGUCCUUCAUUAUGUUGUAUAG